GACCAGUUCCCCCAGAAACCCUGUGAAAGCUCCUCUGGUUUCCACAUGUACAUGGAAGCUGUGAACAUGCCUGAGCAAGUAUUUGUGAAGUAGGAUGUGGAGUCACUGGGCCCAUGUCAAGAAGUAAUAUAGAUCAUUGCUUAGUCCAACUGUCAUCAGAGGAGCUUCACUCAGCAACUAAUGGAAAUAGAUGCAGAGACCCACAGCCAAGCAUUAUUUGGACCUCAGGGAUCCUGUGGAAGAGGUGGAAGAAGGAUUUCGUGAGCCAGAGGGGACAAGGACAAUACAAGAUAGCACUCAGAAUCAACUAACCUGGGCUCAUGGAGAAUUUGCGUGGGACUGAUUUGGGCCUUCUGAACAUGUGUUGAUGUUGUGUGGUUUGGUCUUCUUGUGGGACUUCUGGUAAAGGGAGUGGGGGCUGUCCUUGACUCUGUUCCCUGCUCUUGGGACCUUUUCCUCCUGCUGGGUUGCUUCAUCCAGCCAUAAUAGGAGAGGAGGUGCCUAGUCCUGCUGAAGCUUGAUAUCCCAUGGCUGACUGAUGUACAUGGGAGGCCUGCACUUUUCUAAGGAGAAAGGAGAAGAAGAGGAUGGUGAUGAC
rnacentral:lncRNA from 1 species